UACGUAUGGGGCAAGCGUUGUCCGGAUUUACUGGGUGUAAAGGGAGCGUAGGCGGCGGGGCAAGCCUGAUGUGAAAGCCCGGGGCUCAACCCCGGGACUGCAUUGGGAACUGCCCUGCCGGAGUGCCGGAGGGGCAGGCGGAAUUCCUAGUGUAGCGGUGAAAUGCGUAGAUAUUAGGAGGAACACCAGUGGCGAAGGCGGCCUGCUGGACGGUGACUGACGCUGAGGCUCGAAAGCGUGGGGAGCAAACAGG
rnacentral:rRNA from 1 species